AGAAUGACUCUCGGCAACGGAUAUCUAGGCUCUUGCAUCGAUGAAGAACGUAGCGAAAUGCGAUACUUGGUGUGAAUUGCAGAAUCCCGUGAACCAUCGAGUCUUUGAACGCAAGUUGCGCCCGAAGCCAUCCGGUUGAGGGCACGCCUGCCUGGGCGUCACAU
rnacentral:rRNA from 4 species